GCGAGCGCUCCAGGGCGGGCUUGGGAAUGGAGACAAACUCCUCCGGGCCAUUAACGCUCAGCCGGACAGGGCUUAGGAGUCCCGAGCCCAGUCCUGUUCACCCCCAUUUUAUAGAAAGGGAAACUGAGGCCCAGACAGGGGAAAGUCACUUGCCGAGGUGUUUACUGCAGACUGCGUUGACCGAACCUGCUUUUUCACAGCAGUCAGACAGCAAGCCCUGCCGUCCCUCCAGGACCCUAGUUCCUGGCGAGGAAGGCGUUCUCAGCGAUAAUGACCAGCAUUAAAGUGCUCCCCGUUACCGGCGUCACUGCCCCAGCCAGUGGAGGCCCCGGAGAGGAGCUGAAGAUGUGUGACCUAACUUCUCCGAACCUUCCUCCCUCAAGGAGAGCUGAUAAUCCCUAACUCACAGUUCUGUGAGGAUUGAAUGCCUUAAGCAUGCAGGUUAAGUGGCUACUGAACGCAGUUUUUGUGGACAGCCCAAGGAUAGAAGGUGGAGCAGCCUGGCCAGCAGGGAUCUGAAGCCCAGAGAGAGGAAGCCACUGGCUCCAAGUCACAGAGCAGAAACUGGUGCCAGCGUCAGAUCUGCGAUGCUGCCCAGGCAUGGUGGUGACCCUCUCUAAACAAGCACACUCAGAAUUUCCCUGGCCUCAGCUGGGCGACUCAGAAGAAAAUUGGCCAUCAGCUUCUGCCUCAAGGGGGUGCUGUGGCAAGGAAGACAGAGCAUGUGUGUUGUGAACACUCAUUAGAGGAUCAACCCUACUGUGCCAGGUGCCACGGCGCUGGAUGCAGAGAGCAGGACACAUGGACAGAUGGUGUGUUCACAAAGAAUUUGGAAGAAAGCCAGAUGGUGACAAGAGUGUGUCUCUGAAUGCCCCUUUUGGGGGUCACUAAAAAUGCCCCAGGGUUUUUAGUUGGACCAAUAAGGAGGCUUCAAAGAGAUGGCAUCUGAGCCAGGUUGUGAUACACCUAGGAUGUCAACAGGCAGAAAAAGGGCAGGGACUGGGAGUAAGGAAAGAACGUCUAUUCAAGGCACAACACUGAUUACCAAAGUUUCUAUCAUCCUUAUGUUGACAACAGACAUAAUUUUAACCUUUUGUAUAAGCCAGACUGUGAAG
rnacentral:lncRNA from 1 species